CAAGUCCACUGGUCUAUGAUGGGCAAAGGAUGGAGCUUGGCCUUUGGGUGGUCACCCCUUUUUCCUAUCUUUUGGCAAGUAUCACACAUCUGGUAGUAAUCCUGCAGGUCUUGUGUGAACCCUGGCCAAAAAAAGGUCAGGGUUAACCGGUCUUUAGUCUUCCAGACACCCAGAUGUCCAGCUAGGGGAAUGUCGUGGCUAAGCUUGAGUAGCUUAGCCCUAAAUUUACGUGGCACUAUCAACUACCUUUUAGCUAUCUGCGCUGCCCCACUCCCUGUUCCCCCAGUCAAAUCUUUCCUGAGCUAUAUCACCUUGGGGGGAUAUGCUGCCUCUUUCCUAUACCCUUCUAGUGUGGGGUCUGCCCUAUGCUCUUGCUCAAAACCUUGGGGUGUACCCCAGAACAGGAGAGGGGCUUCGGUUAAGGGAGGGACAGGAGGUCCUCAGAGUGCGCUGGCUCCCUGCAGAAGGCUUG